CUCCCCGUUCCCACAGCACUGCUAUCUCAUAAAAUAGGGAUUAAUAGGCAUCAGAAAAAUUAGCACCAGAGAGGGUUAUUGAUUGUAUGAUCUAAUAGCUAUGAAAUAAUAGAACCAGGAAUGAUCCUAACAGAGUAAGAGAGUCUGUUCACUGUUCACCUGUUACUCUUCACACCCAUUGAAGACCUAGUAUGUGGGCAAAGUGAGAAAGGAAGAGACGGGUUGC